AGUCCUGUAGCUCAGUGGUUAGAGUGCUCGCUUUUCAAGCGAGAGACCUAGGUUUGAUUCCCGGCAGGGCGA